UACGUAGGGGGCAAGCGUUGUCCGGAAUCAUUGGGCGUAAAGAGCGUGUAGGCGGCUUGGUAAGUCCGCUGUGAAAGUCCAGGGCUCAACCCUGGAAUGCCGGUGGAAACUGUCAAGCUUGAGUCCGGAAGAGGCGAGUGGAAUUCCUGGUGUAGCGGUGAAAUGCGCAGAUAUCAGGAGGAACACCAAUGGCGAAGGCAGCUCGCUGGGACGGUACUGACGCUGAGACGCGAAAGCGUGGGGAGCAAAAGGG
rnacentral:rRNA from 1 species